AUUCCAGUUCAUGUGAUUGGAAAAACCAAAAAACGUGAAGCAAACAAGAAAAACCGCAAAUUAAGCAAUAUAUUCAGUGAAUUGAAUUGCUUUUUUUCGAAUCGCAUUCCAUUUAAUGAUCAAGCAGCUCCAGGAUGAACCAUGGAAUUAAUUCAAAAAUUAAAUAAUUGCAAUCGUCAAAACUAUACUUUUCACGUUCGGAUGAUAUAUUUGUGUGUAUGUGAGUUUUUUAUUUGUUCUUCUUCCAAAAACUGAUAUAUAGUGCUUUUUCUUUUAAUUGUGAAAUGAAAAAUGGUUGGAACGAAACGCACAAAAGACAAAAUAACAUUUGAAUAUUAACAGAAUAAAUGUGAUAAGCUUAAAAUCAAAGCAAUUUUAUAUACGU